UACGGAGGGUGCAAGCGUUAUCCGGAUUUACUGGGUUUAAAGGGUGCGUAGGUGGGUCUGUAAGUCAGUGGUGAAAUCUCCGGGCUUAACCCGGAAAUUGCCAUUGAUACUAUAGGUCUUGAAUCAUCUGGAGGUAAGCGGAAUAUGUCAUGUAGCGGUGAAAUGCUUAGAUAUGACAUAGAACACCAAUUGCGAAGGCAGCUUACUAGGGAUGCAUUGACACUGAGGCACGAAAGCGUGGGGAGCAAACAGG
rnacentral:rRNA from 1 species